rnacentral:rRNA from 1 species
UACGUAGGGUGCGAGCGUUAAUCGGAAUUAUUGGGCGUAAAGCGUGUGCAGGCGGCGCGUUAAGACAGGUGUGAAAGCCCCGAGCUUAACUUGGGAAUUGCGCUUGUGACUGGCGUGCUGGAGUGUGGCAGAGGGAGGUGGAAUUCCACGUGUAGCAGUGAAAUGCGUAGAGAUGUGGAGGAACACCGAUCGCGAAGGCAGCCUCCUGGGCCAGCACUGACGCUCAUGCACGAAAGCGUGGGGAGCAAACAGG